rnacentral:rRNA from 1 species
AGUGAACGCUGGCGGUAGGCCUAACACAUGCCAGUCGAACGGCAGCACAGUAAGAGCUUGCUCUUACGGGUGGCGAGUGGCGGACGGGUGAGGAAUACAUCGGAAUCUACUUUUUCGUGGGGGAUAACGUAGGGAAACUUACGCUAAUACCGCAUACGACCUACGGGUGAAAGCAGGGGAUCUUCGGACCUUGCGCGAUUGAAUGAGCCGAUGUCGGAUUAGCUAGUUGGCGGGGUAAAGGCCCACCAAGGCGACGAUCCGUAGCUGGUCUGAGAGGAUGACGACCCGCAUUGGAGCGAGGAGACGGUCAUGAGGACUACGGGAGGCAGCAGUGUGGAAUAUGCGGCGAUGGGGGCAAGACUGCCCCAGCAAUACCAAGUGUGUGAAGAAGGAAAGAAGGGUGUAAAGACAUUGUGUUGUGAUAGAAACGCAGCAAGUUAAUACCCCGCUGUUCUGACGCGGCCCAACAAAUAAGCACCGGCUAACUUAGUG